AUGAACGCUAGCGGCGGGCUUAAUACAUGCAAGUCAAGGGGUAGCAAUACACCGGCGUACGGGUGCGUAACGCGUAUGGAACCUGCCCUUAUCUGGGGGAUAACUCGGGGAAACUCGAGCUAAUACCGCAUAAGAUAGUAGAGUGGCAUCACUCAGCUAUUAAAGAUUUAUCGGAUAAGGAUGGCCAUGCGUAAGAUUAGAUAGUUGGCGAGGUAACGUCUCACCAAGUCUACGAUCUUUAGGGGCUCUGAGAGGAGAAUCCCCCACACUGGCACUGAGAUACGGGCCAGACUCCUACGGGAGGCAGCAGUAGGGAAUAUUGGGCAAUGGGCGGAAGCCUGACCCAGCCACGCCGCGUGCAGGAAGACGGCCCUCUGGGUUGUAAACUGCUUUUAACUGGGAAGAAAGCAGCUCAUGCGUGAGAAUUUGACGGUACCAGUUGAAUAAGCCACGGCUAACUACGU
rnacentral:rRNA from 1 species